GCGCACGUGGCGGAAUUGGCAGACGCGCUACUUUGAGGUGGUAGUGGAGUAAUCCGUGCAGGUUCAAGUCCUGCCGUGCGCACCA
rnacentral:tRNA from 2 species